GAUGAAGAACGUAGCGAAAUGCGAUAAGUAAUGUGAAUUGCAGAAUUCAGUGAAUCAUCGAAUCUUUGAACGCACCUUGCACCCUUUGGCAUUCUGAAGGGUAUGCUCGUUUGAGUGUCAUUGUACUCUCACACUCCCGAUCUUUGCAUUGGGAGCAGUGGACUUGGGUUUGCUGCUUCACCGUCGCUUACCUCAAAUAGGUUAGUGCAACUCUUGGUUGGACAUAGUACGGCGUGAUAAGUGUUCUUCGCCGGUGCCUCGCAAAGAGGGUGGCCGAUCGGGAUGUUGUGCUCCAAACCGUCUUCGGACAAUCUCUGACGACUUGACCUCAAAUCGAGUAAGACUACCCGCUGAACUUAAGCAUAUCAAUAAGCGGAGG
rnacentral:misc_RNA from 1 species